AUGAAGGUGAUAAAUGCUUACAUAUGUUGCAUGCUGAUUCACGACCAUCUACGAGACAGGGCGGGUGGAAAGAUACAUAUUAUUAGCACGUUCGUUUCUGGCCAGAUAAAAGAAGACGGAGAAAGAGACAUAGACCCAUCAAAAUAUCGCCGCAUCGUACAUCAUGUUAAUACUUAUGUACAACAAGAUAUGUGCUAUUCAUUCCAAUUAACAUUGAGCGGAGUCAUUGGUAUCUGGCAGUCGUCAAUGCCCAAAAACAUGAGAUUCAAGUAUUGGACUCGCUUGGUUCUCGGAUCAAUCGGAGUGACCUUACUGUUACGUUACUAG
rnacentral:rRNA from 1 species